rnacentral:rRNA from 1 species
GAUGAACGCUGGCGGCGUGCCUAAUGCAUGCAAGUCGAGCGAACAGACGAGGAGCUUGCUCCUCUGACGUUAGCGGCGGACGGGUGAGUAACACGUGGAUAACCUACCUAUAAGACUGGGAUAACUUCGGGAAACCGGAGCUAAUACCGGAUAAUAUAUUGAACCGCAUGGUUCAAUAGUGAAAGACGGUUUUGCUGUCACUUAUAGAUGGAUCCGCGCCGCAUUAGCUAGUUGGUAAGGUAACGGCUUACCAAGGCAACGAUGCGUAGCCGACCUGAGAGGGUGAUCGGCCACACUGGAACUGAGACACGGUCCAGACUCCUACGGGAGGCAGCAGUAGGGAAUCUUCCGCAAUGGGCGAAAGCUUGACGGAGCAACGCCGCGUGAGUGAUGAAGGUCUUCGGAUCGUAAAACUCUGUUAUUAGGGAAGAACAAAUGUGUAAGUAACUAUGCACGUCUUGAUGGUACCUAAUCAGAAAGCCACGGCUAACUACGUG